UAAUUGUUUGCAGGAAUUUUCUUAUAUAUUUUUUUCAAGUGUGACCUUUCAUUGAUAUGUUAAGAAAUACAGAAUUAGAAGAAACUAGUUUGAAAUGAUGGCUCGCUUCUACUUAGAAAAUCUGAAUACAAAGGAACUAAUGGGAACCACAAAGAUCAGGGUGCCAAGGUUUUAAGAAUAUUUUAGGUUUGCAAAUAAUAGCUAGUAUGCUUGUAAUCUCAACAAUACAUUUUUCUCUGAUAAAGAAUAUCCUUUUCCAGAAGGUUUACAGUGUGGCCAUCUCCUGCUGGAAGCCUGUGAUGCUGGAAUCAGGCCACUUUCUGUCUGUCUUUACAGGACACCGGGCUGCACUCUAAGAAAUUUCUAGCUGUCCCCUGGAUCCUGACCAUCAUAUGGGCAGAGAAAUUGGUGACAUUUUUCUUUUGCCUGUUGAAAUGACACAGAUUCUUUCUGUUUCCUGAUGUGGGUAAAGUGUGGAACCCAGUGAUGAUUUCUCCUUCAAGAAAUGUACAUCCUAGUCCAAACGAGGGUGAGCCCCCCUCCAGCAGUGAGAGAUUCUGCAUGUGUGUGACCUGUGCCUCCUAGGAGAGCAGCUUUAAGCUAAUUUAAACCUGGCCAAGUUUAAAUUAAAUCUACCAUUUAUGUGGUAGAUUUAGACUUCUCUACACUGAUGAUGUUUAGACAUGACCGUGUACUUUCUACAAUGAGAACAUUUAGACCUGACCCUGUUCUGUGCGCUAGGACUGGAGACCUGGAUAGGACCUGGCCUGCCUCUGUCCUGGAAAACUCCAUGCCUGCGUCUGAAUGUCAGCCCUCAGAUGUCUGGGGUCUGGAGCUGAGGUGGCUGCUCUGGGCAACGUGCUCUUCUCUGAGGGGGUUCCGUGGCCCUCCCGGUGUUGGGACUGCAGUGGGCUCUGAGUCUCUCCCCCUGCCAGGUUCCCCCUCCCUGGGGCAUGGAGGCUCCUCAGGUGGGCUACCUGGUAAUUAUUCCAAUUUUCCAGCAUAUUUGGGUUGAGUAGGGAGGCAGGUUCACCUGCUGAGCUGAUUCCAGGGAUCAGGCAAGAAGUCAAUGGGCAGCAGGUGAGGUUGCCGCUGUGAUCUCCUUCUGGUCGAUUCUCCUCAGAAGAGAACAGGGCUGCCCCCUGUCCUUCAGCCCAGCUCUCCUGUUUUCUCAUCAUCUCAGCAGCACAGGAAAGACAGAGCCUGCCAGAACCAAGAAUGAACAUGGCGAGAAGAGAGGCAGGCUCCUGGUGGAUUGACUGCAGGGCACAUGGAUCAGGCAAAAAGCCAGUGGGAUCAGGUGAGGUUGCUGCCGUGACCUCCUUCAGGUCGACCGCCCUACUCAGCAGAGACCAGACCUGCCCCUCGUCUUCCAGCCCUGCAUCUGGUGUAUUGUCUCAGCUCCUCAGCGGGACGAGAAAGGACCGAGCCUGCCAGAACCAAGGUAGUGCCUUCAACAUGAUCAUGACAGCCAUAGAAACAGUUAAUAUCACAGAACCAAAGGGAAAGGGGAGGACUUCUGUGGGACAAUGUGGGGAGAGGAGACCGACCCUACCCUUCUUUCUACCAUCCCAGGAGGUUACGGGAACCCCCUCGUUUCUGCCUUAGGGGUCCAACCAGCAGAAACUGGUGUCCUAAGCAAGAGUUGUGUGACCCCAAGUGCAGUGUCUGGGAGGUGGAAUCACUUUGGAGGCUGGAAAUGUGCUGGGUCUGGAAAUUGUGUGGGUCUCAUCCCAUCCACAUGAGUCAGGAACCUGUACCUGGAGACCCUGUGUCUGCUCUUUAUCUGCAGCAUGUCUUGUCCCCCCUGAGAUUCCCAUCCUCUGAAUUGAUGG